AAGUCGUAACAAGGUUUCCGUAGGUGAACCUGCGGAAGGAUCAUUAACAAAGAGUUGGACUCUUAGUCAUAAAAAACCAUUAGUGCGAAAGAAGUUUGACUUCCUAGCUCUCUUGGUUGACUUUGAGUCUUUCACUUUCAACCACAUGUGAACAUACCAACUAUCUAUUACUGAAGUCUGAUUUUGAAACAUUGGUGUUUAAAGACACUAGUAAUCAAAAACAACUUUUGGCAACGGAUCUCUUGGCUCUC
rnacentral:misc_RNA from 1 species